UCCAAGCAUUGGAAAACUGUCCGAAGAAA
rnacentral:piRNA from 1 species